rnacentral:misc_RNA from 1 species
CCGAGCUCUCGCCCCUCGCGGGCGGACCUCCCACCCACUGUGAUCGCUACAGCCGUUGCCUCGGCGGGCCGCCCAGGCGCGCCGCCUGGGCCCACCGGUCCCCCGGUGUGCGCGCCCGCCAGAGGCCCCCAAAACGCUGAUGUGCAGUGUCGUCCGAGUCUUGUACAACCGCGA